GCCCGCGGUCUCUCUGUCCUGCCCUCCUGCGGCCAUCGCGGGCAGAGCAGCGCGGCCGCUCCUCAGCCCUGGCCAGCCGGAGUCACCGCCGCCGCUGCCACCUCGACGGCGGGUACUGGGUGGAAAGGCUGUGCUGUGAAGGGGACAGAAGGGAUUCCCGCGGGACCCAGGCCCCCUGAGAUCUUCGAGAAGGUUCCGGCAACCGUCCCGCAUGCUCCUUCCAUCCAGAACAAUAAGGACAAGCGGGGGAACUCUCUCCUAGCGCCAGGGCGGCCACCUAGUUGACAAUACCUUGAUUCUCUAUCUCAGGAGCGCAGUGGAUCUGCAGCGUGGAGGUAGGAGAUAGCGGGCGUGUGCAACCUGCGGUUUAGCGCGACAGGAGGAACCAGAACAGCCGGCGCCUCUGCAGAUCAGGGCUUAGUCCUCUGAGGAUGCAACGAGUGAUGGGGAUUUGAAGACCCAGAAGAUGUGAUGCCCAAGUCUCACCACAGUCCUGGUAACUCUUGGGGAGAACAUGAAAAUCUGCCCCACUGAGGUUCUGCCUCAGGAGGGCUGAGCUGGAGCCCGAGACUCUACAUUUCUAAUGAGCUCCAGAUGAUAUCCCGCUGCUGAUCCGUGGACCACCCUUUGAGAUGUGAAGGAAUUGAAAACUCAGAAAAGACAAAAAGAAAAAAAAAAUUCUCAGCAGAAAGCAUAAAUGAAAAAGCCACCCUCCAGUUCUAACGGCAUCUGGAUGUGACAGGGAAAGGCGCUUGGACCCCACAAGCCAGGGCAGUAUCUGGAUAAGCUGUGCAGCCUGAGGCUGCCCAGCCAUGGCACCCCAGCAAAGACGGAGGGUGGAGGAGAGGGCGUUUCCCGGUGCUCUGGACUUCACCAGCAAG
ensembl:lncRNA